rnacentral:rRNA from 1 species
UACGAAGGGGGCUAGCGUUGCUCGGAAUUACUGGGCGUAAAGGGCGCGUAGGCGGCACGGCAAGUCAGGAGUGAAAGCCCUGGGCUCAACCCGGGAACUGCUUUUGAAACUGCCGAGCUAGAGUGCGGAAGGGGCAACUGGAAUUCCCAGUGUAGCGGUGAAAUGCGUAGAUAUUGGGAAGAACACCUGAGGCGAAGGCGGGUUGCUGGGCCGACACUGACGCUGAUGCGCGAAAGCCAGGGGAGCGAACGGG